rnacentral:rRNA from 1 species
AUGGAUCCAAACCUCAAAAUUAUCUUCUGGAACAUAAGAGGUCUUAAUUCUCGCGUGAAACGUUCAGCAGUUCGUAGCGUCAUUUCCUCGGCUGCCCCGCACAUCGUCUGUCUCCAGCGGACGAAGCUUGCUGACGUACUGGCCUCCCUGGUCCUCGAAACCCUUGCGCAUCCUUUCUGGACUUCUUCUUCCUUCCUGUUGACGGCACCCGUGGUGGCAUUCUGCUUGCAUGGUGUAGCGAGCUGA